UAGCACGUAGGUGGGGUUUGUAAGGUCAGAUGCGAAAGCCUUCUGUUCAACGGAAGAAUUGCGUCUGAAACUGCGAGUCUUGAGUAUAGGAGGGGAGAAUGGGACUUCUGGUGGAGCGGUGAAAUGCGUAGAUAUCAGAAGGAACGCCGGCGGCGAAAGCGAUUCUCUGGCCUAUUACUGACACUCAGUGUGCGAAAGCUAGGGGAGCAAACGGGAUUAGAUACCCCGGUAGUCCUAGCCGUAAGCGAUGGGCACUAAGUAGAGGGGUUUU
rnacentral:rRNA from 1 species